rnacentral:tRNA from 1 species
AUUUAGGUAUCUUAAUUAUAAAGUAUAAUAUUGAAGUUAUUAUUAUAGGUUAUUAACCUCCUAAAUA